rnacentral:misc_RNA from 1 species
GAUGAAGAACGUAGCGAAAUGCGAUAAGUAGUGUGAAUUGCAGAAUUCAGUGAAUCAUCGAAUCUUUGAACGCACAUUGCGCCCUUUGGUAUUCCUUAGGGCAUGCCUGUUCGAGCGUCAUUUAAACCUUCAAGCUAAGCUUGGUGUUGGUGACUGUCCGCUUCACGGCGGACUCGCCUCAAAAUUAUUGGCGGCCGGUACAUUGGCUUCGAGCGCAGCAGAAACGCGAACUCGGGCCCGUCGUAUUGGCUCCCAGAAGCUAUCUUCACAAUUUUGACCUCGGAUCAGGUAGGGAUACCCGCUGAACUUAAGCAUAUCAAUAAGCGGAGGA